CCCGCACAAGCGGUGGAGCAUGUGGUUUAAUUCGAUGGUACGCGGGGAACCUUACCUGGGUUUGACAUGCAGGUGAUCGCCGUUGAAAGACGGUUUCCUCUUCGGAGGCACCUGCACAGGUGCUGCAUGGCUGUCGUCAGCUCGUGUCGUGAGAUGUUGGGUUAAGUCCCGCAACGAGCGCAACCCUUGUCUUUAGUUGCCAUCAUUCAGUUGGGCACUCUAGCGAGACUGCCGGUAAUAAACCGGAGGAAGGUGGGGAUGACGUCAAAUCAUCAUGCCCCUUAUGACCUGGGCUACACACGUGCUACAAUGGUUGGUACAACGAGUUGCGAGUCGGUGACGGCGAGCUAAUCUCUUAAAGCCAAUCUCAGUUCGGAUUGUAGGCCGCAACUCGCCUACAUGAAGUCGGAAUCGCUAGUAAUCGCGGAUCAGCACGCCGCGGUGAAUACGUUCCCGGGCCUU
rnacentral:rRNA from 1 species